UACAGAGGUGUCAAGCGUUGUUCGGAUUCAUUGGGCGUAAAGGGCGCGUAGGCUGCGGGGAAAGUCGGGUGUGAAAUCUCAGAGCUCAACUCUGAAACUGCACUCGAUACUGCUUUGCUUGAGGACUGGAGAGGAGAUUGGAAUUCACGGUGUAGCAGUGAAAUGCGUAGAUAUCGUGAGGAAGACCAGUGGCGAAGGCGGAUCUCUGGACAGUUCCUGACGCUGAGGCGCGAAGGCCAGGGGAGCAAACGGG
rnacentral:rRNA from 1 species